rfam:Volvox carteri f. nagariensis unplaced genomic scaffold VOLCAscaffold_70, whole genome shotgun sequence.
GCUCUGGUUAGCUCAGUCGGUAGAGCGCACGGCUGUUAACCGUAAGGUCGACGGUUCGAUCCCGUCAUCGAGCG